GAUGAACGCUGGCGGCGUGCUUAACACAUGCAAGUCGAACGGUGAAGGCGGAGCUUGCUCUGCUGGAUCAGUGGCGAACGGGUGAGUAACACGUGAGCAAUCUGCCCCUGACUCUGGGAUAAGCGCUGGAAACGGCGUCUAAUACUGGAUACGAGCUGCGAAGGCAUCUUCAGCAGCUGGAAAGAACUUCGGUCAGGGAUGAGCUCGCGGCCUAUCAGCUUGUUGGUGAGGUAACGGCUCACCAAGGCGUCGACGGGUAGCCGGCCUGAGAGGGUGACCGGCCACACUAGGACUGAGACACGGCCCAGACUCCUACGGGAGGCAGCAGUGGGGAAUAUUGCACAAUGGGCGAAAGCCUGAUGCAGCAACGCCGCGUGAGGGACGACGGCCUUCGGGUUGUAAACCUCUUUUAGCAGGGAAGAAGCGAAAGUGACGGUACCUGCAGAAAAAGCGCCGGCUAACUACGUG
rnacentral:rRNA from 1 species